rnacentral:rRNA from 1 species
UACGGGGGGAGCAAGCGUUGUUCGGAUUUACUGGGCGUAAAGGGCGCGUAGGCGGCCACCGCAAGUCGACUGUGAAAUCUCCGGGCUUAACUCGGAAAGGUCAGCCGAUACUGCGGGGCUAGAGUGCAGAAGGGGCAACUGGAAUUCUCGGUGUAGCGGUGAAAUGCGUAGAUAUCGGGAGGAACACCAGUAGCGAAGGCGGCUCGCUGGGCCAUUCCUGACGCUGAGACGCGAAAGCGUGGGGAGCGAACCGG